UACGUAGGGUGCAAGCGUUAAUCGGAAUUACUGGGCGUAAAGCGUGCGCAGGCGGUGAUGUAAGACAGUUGUGAAAUCCCCGGGCUCAACCUGGGAACUGCAUCUGUGACUGCAUCGCUGGAGUGCGGCAGAGGGGGAUGGAAUUCCGCGUGUAGCAGUGAAAUGCGUAGAUAUGCGGAGGAACACCGAUGGCGAAGGCAGCCCCCUGGGCUAACACUGACGCUCAGGCACGAAAGCGUGGGGAGCAAACAGG
rnacentral:rRNA from 1 species